ACACUCCUGCGGGAGGCAGCAGUGGGGAAUUUUGGACAAUGGGCGAAAGCCUGAUCCAGCAAUGCCGCGUGUGUGAAGAAGGCCUUCGGGUUGUAAAGCACUUUUGUCCGGAAAGAAAUCCUUGGCUCUAAUACAGUCGGGGGAUGACGGUACCGGAAGAAUAAGCACCGGCUAACUACGUGCCAGCAGCCGCGGUAAUACGUAGGGUGCGAGCGUUAAUCGGAAUUACUGGGCGUAAAGCGUGCGCAGGCGGUUUGCUAAGACCGAUGUGAAAUCCCCGGGCUCAACCUGGGAACUGCAUUGGUGACUGGCAGGCUAGAGUAUGGCAGAGGGGGGUAGAAUUCCACGUGUAGCAGUGAAAUGCGUAGAGAUGUGGAGGAAUACCGAUGGCGAAGGCAGCCCCCUGGGCCAAUACUGACGCUCAUGCACGAAAGCGUGGGGAGCAAACAGGAUUAGAAACCCGAGUAGUCCCAUGA
rnacentral:rRNA from 1 species